GGAUCCAGACUUUGAUCCUGGCUCAUGAUGAACGCUAGCGGCAGGCUUAACACAUGCAAGUCGAGGGGCAGCGCGGGGCGGCAACGUCCUGGCGGCGACCGGCGGAAGGGUGCGUAACGCGUGAGCGACAUGCCCGUUGCCCGGGGACAACCGGUGGAAACGCCGACUAAUCCCCGAUGGGACGGAGGCCCUCAUGGGUCUCUGUUGAAAGUUACGGCGGCGACGGAUUGGCUCGCGUCCGAUUAGCUUGUUGGCGGGGUAACGGCCCACCAAGGCUACGAUCGGUAGGGGUUCUGAGAGGAAGGUCCCCCACAAUGGAACUGAGACACGGUCCAUACUCCUACGGGAGGCAGCAGUGAGGAAUAUUGGUCAAUGGGCGGAAGCCUGAACCAGCCAUGCCGCGUGCGGGAAGGAGGCCCUAUGGGCUGUGAACCGCUUUUGCCUGGGGGCAAUAAGGGCGUCGUGCACGUCCGAUGAGAGUACCAGGCGAAUAAGCAUCGGCUAACUCCGUGCCAGCAGCCGCGGUAAUACGGGGGAUGCGAGCGUUAUCCGGAUUCAUUGGGUUUAAAGGGUGCGUAGGCUGUGCGUCAAGUCAGGGGUGAAAUUCCGGGGCUCAACUCCGGGGCUGCCCUUGAUACUGGUCGCGCUGGAG
rnacentral:rRNA from 1 species